rnacentral:rRNA from 1 species
ACGCUCGACACCUACGGGAGGCAGCAGUUGGGAAUAUUGGACAAUGGAGGAAACUCUGAUCCAGUGACGCCGCGUGAAGGAAGAAGGUCUUCGGAUUGUAAACUUAUUUUGUCAGGGAAGAAAAUGACUGUACCUGAAGAAAAAGCACCGGCUAACUACGUGUCAGCAGCCGCGGUAAUCUGAGCGGGCUGGCAAGGC